rnacentral:tRNA from 1 species
GCCUUCGUAGUGUUAGUGGUGAGCACGCUGGACACGUGUUCCAGAGGGCCGUGGUUCGAGUCCCGGCGAAGGCA